CCUACGGGAGGCAGCAGUGGGGAAUAUUGCACAAUGGGCGCAAGCCUGAUGCAGCCAUGCCGCGUGUGUGAAGAAGGCCUUCGGGUUGUAAAGCACUUUCAGCGGGGGGGAAGGCGGUGAGGUUAACAACCUCAUCGAUUGACGUUACCCGCAGAAGAAGCACCGGCUAACUCCGUGCCAGCAGCCGCGGUAAUACGGAGGGUGCAAGCGUUAAUCGGAAUUACUGGGCGUAAAGCGCACGCAGGCGGUCUGUCAAGUCGGAUGUGAAAUCCCCGGGCUCAACCUGGGAACUGCAUUCGAAACUGGCAGGCUAGAGUCUUGUAGAGGGGGGUAGAAUUCCAGGUGUAGCGGUGAAAUGCGUAGAGAUCUGGAGGAAUACCGGUGGCGAAGGCGGCCCCCUGGACAAAGACUGACGCUCAGGUGCGAAAGCGUGGGGAGCAAACAGGAUUAGAUACCCGGGUAGUC
rnacentral:rRNA from 1 species